AUCUUAAUUUUCCAAUGGGAAGUUCAAUCAUUACCAGUCUCCUACGGGUCAAAACAAAGCGCGGACGAAGCUCGAGUCUUUCAAAUAUGGUUGGCGGCGUUCCUUUGCCUGCAAGAGUGUUGUGUCUUUGGAGUGUAACUUUAAUAACAACCAUUUUUUUAGUCGUACGAGUGGACAGUGAAAGCGACUGGAACUAUUUUGUUGUAUUCGUACCCGUUUUAAUAUACGACGGCGUUUUAAUACUCGUAGUUUCGUCGAGAAUUAUAAGGCAUUCUAGGAGACGUUUUUAUGACGAUGAACUCUCUGUGAAGCGAAAACUCUGGUUUCUUUUGCUUGUAGUAUUAAAUUUCAUCUUUGUUUGUCUGGUUUCGAGCAAGCUGGAUGGACACGUUUUGUUCUCUUGGUACUAUGUGUUCACUGUUUUAUGGAUAUUACUUAUUCUUGUGGCGGCUGACACAACCAGAUUUUUGAGACAGGAUCUGAAUAGCUAGCACGUUUCAUGGCUUGGAAAAUGGUUGGGUGAUCUCCAAUAUGUCGUGGUGCGAAGCCAAGGUUUGAGGAAGCAACAAGAAGAGCUGAUAUUGGGAAAUAUGGCUGACAUUGGCUGUAUUCAAUGAGUAAAGUCAUUGGAUAAUUAACAAGGAAAUUUACUGUACAUCAAUUGAUGGCUUGAUUGGAAAAAGGAAAUUAUGAUUUGCUGCCAUACUGUCGUUAAUGCCUAAAGCCCAUUUUUCACUAGGUGAAUUUGUUCGUGCAAAGCGAAAAACAAAUCUUGAGAAUGUGAUUGUUCGCACAUAAAAAUUGCCUAGUGGAAAAUGGGCUUUAGCGUGUACAUGCACUUGCGCCUAAAUACGGAAUAGCACCUUCUAUUCUAUCAUAGUUAAACCCUUCUCUAACCCCAACCAAUAAAAGUCUAAUAAACAAUUUGAGAUUUUAAAAAAGUUGGAAAAGAAUUUGAUAAAAAUUUGAGAAAGUCGGACAAAAAACAGUCGGGCCUUGUUUCAAAACUUAAUCGACCCUGACCUUGUUUCACUUAGCAUGCACACAACACAAUGCCUUAAUUAAACAAUUACGCUAUCAGCAAGCUUGAGAAAAUUAUUGCAAAUUGUGCCUAUAACGUAUUGUGCAAGACUUUGGGUGACAAACCUUGACGUUUGAGGCGUAAACGAUACAACUUUGCCUCUAAUUAGAACAUGUUUGUGAUUGUGUGUGCACAUGCUUUUUUUGGAGAACGUAUUUCAGCACAUAAUUAACAAACAUGACAGUCUGCAUUGAUUGUAAAUUAGAAAUUAGUUCAAAAUACCACGCAUACAUCAUUCAAUGUUAAAAAAUACAACGCAAUUGAUAAAGAGUGUAAUAUAUGUAAAUUAUAUGGAAUGUUCAAAUUUAAUAUUUGUUUAUUAAAG